UACGGGGGGGGCAAGCGUUAUUCGGAUUUACUGGGCGUAAAGGGCGCGUAGGCGGCGUGGUAAGUCACUUGUGAAAUCUCUGAGCUUAACUCAGAACGGCCAAGUGAUACUGCUGUGCUAGAGUGCAGAAGGGGCAAUCGGAAUUCUUGGUGUAGCGGUGAAAUGCGUAGAUAUCAAGAGGAACACCUGAGGUGAAGACGGGUUGCUGGGCUGACACUGACGCUGAGGCGCGAAAGCCAGGGGAGCAAACGGG
rnacentral:rRNA from 1 species